UUCCGGUUGAUCCUGCCGGAGGCGACCGCUUUUGGAGUUCGAUUAAGCCAUGCGAGUCGAGAGCUUUCGGAGCUCGGCAUACUGCUCAGUAACACGUGGAUAACCUGCCCUAUUGUCUGGAAUAACCUCGGGAAACUGAGAACAAUGCCGGAUAGCCCACAAUGCCUGGAACGGUUUGUGGGUGAAGAUAGGAUGGGUCUGCGGCGUAUCAGGUCGUAGGGGGUGUAAUGGACCUCCUAGCCAUCGACGCGUACGGGUGUUGGGAGACAUAGCCCGGAGAUGGAUUCUGAGACACGAAUCCAGACCCUACGGGGUGCAGCAGGCGCGAAAACUUCACACUGCAGGAAACUGUGAUGAGGGAACUCCAAGUGCUAUCACUAUGUGGUAGCUUUUCUUAACUAUUAAUCGGUUUUGGAAUAAGGGCUGGGAAAGACCGGUGCCAGCCGCCGCGGUAAUACCGGCAGCUCAAGUGGUCGUCGCUUUUAUUGGGCCUAAAACGUCCGUAGCCUGUUUGGUAAAUCUGUGGGUAAAUCAACCAGCUUAACUGGUUGAAUUCUGCAGAGACUGCCAGACUAGGGACCGGGAGAGGUGUGGGGUACUCUAGGGGUAGGGGUAAAAUCCUGUCAUCCUUAGAGGACCACCAGUUGCGAAGGCGCCACACUGGAACGGAUCCGACGGUCAGGGACGAAGCCUAGGGGCACGAACCGGAUUAGAUACCCGGGUAGUCCUAGGUGUAAACGCUGUGAACUUGGUGUCGGGGAUCCGUAAUGGGUUCUCGGUGCCGGAGUGAAGAUGUUAAGUUCACUGCCUGGGGAGUACGGUCGCAAGGCUGAAACUUAAAGGAAUUGGCGGGGCAGCAC
rnacentral:rRNA from 1 species